UGAGUAACACGUAAGUAAUCUACCUUCGAGUGGGGAAUAACGUCCGGAAACGGACGCUAAUACCGCAUAAUGCAGCGGCACCUUAUGGUGACAGUUGUUAAAGGAGCAAUUCGCUUGAAGAGGAGCUUGCGGCAGAUUAGCUAGUUGGUAAGGUAAUGGCUUACCAAGGCUUCGAUCUGUAACCGGUCUAAGAGGACGGUCGGUCACACUGACACUGAAUAACGGGUCAG
rnacentral:rRNA from 1 species